rnacentral:misc_RNA from 1 species
GUGAAUCAUCGAAUCUUUGAACGCAUAUUGCACUCUCUGGUAUUCCGGAGAGUAUGCCUGUUUGAGGGUAAUUUAAAAGAAUCUUUAACCAAUUUUUUUGGUCAAAGGAGAUGAGUUCUCCGCGUUUAUAGCUUUAGCUUGAAAUAAAUGGUCAAGUCUCAUUUUAUUCUAGACGCGGAAUAAUAUUAUUUCGCGAAAUCUUCAGUAUGUGACUAUCAAGUUUUUGUUGACACAAAUUU